GCAAGUCGAGGGGCAGCACGAGUACUUGUACUUGGUGGCGACCGGCGCACGUGUGCGUAACGCGUAUGCAACCUACCUUAUACAGAGGGAUAGCCCAGAGAAAUUUGGAUUAAUACCUCAUAGUAUCAUUUGAAGGCAUCUGAGAAUGAGUAAAGAUUUAUCGGUAUAAGAUGGGCAUGCGUAAGAUUAGUGAGUUGGUGAGGUAACGGCUCACCAAGACUUCGAUCUUGAGGGGGUCUGAGAGGAUGAGC
rnacentral:rRNA from 1 species